AAAAAAAAAAAAAAACACGAGUGGAAAUGACCAGUGAUGAGACGUGAAGCAAAAAGAAUGAAAAAAGAAUAAAAAAAAAAUAAUGAAACAAGAGACAGUUGAUCCACCCAAAAAAAUAUCGAAACUAAACCAGCAAUAAAGACGGGGAAAAAAAAAAUGUAUGAGAAUGACCAGUGGUGAGAAGGAGAAAGAGAGAGAAAAAAAGCAGAAACAUGAGACAGUGGAUUAAAAAAAGAAUAACCUCAGGAGCAGGAGUAGGUCGAGGCAGCAGUAGCCGGGGCCUCGCGACAAGACGAGACAAGCACCUAAAGCAACUAUGGUCAGACCGGCCGAACGAGUCAAUGGAAUCCUCACCGACAGGACGUCACCGGUUCUCAAGGCAGACUUCUGUUGAGUAGAGUCGUAACACUGAACCCUGAAGAAAACAUGAUUUCACGGCGACGCCUCGACCCCUGCCAGCACCAGUAACAGGUAAGAGGUCAGAAUGGCGGACGUGACUCACUGUCUGAAUGUUCCGCCGAGACCCACCGCACCAGGGGAACCAUUGCGGCUCCGUGCGUGGCUGGCUGGCUGUCGCGUCUGGCGGGAAGGCUUCGUGCGCCCUUUCUAUUUGUUACUCUGAGGCAGGCCAGAUCACGGGACUGUAGAUGGAGAGAUGCAGGGUAAGGAAUUAUAGAUGAAGAGAUGAGAUGUGAUGUUUUGCUGUGGUGCUCUGGAAUAGAAGGGUAACAGGCUGGAAUGGAUUGUUGGGAAGAUUUCUCUCCUCCAGUAGAAUCAUUGAGAUUAUGUGAUUUUGCUUAUUGAUCUCCUUUAAGAGCUGCUUUAUGCAUAUCGUCUCUUUAUCCCGUUUAGCUCAUUCCCACAAAACUUGUCAUAAGAAUAUAGGAAAACAAGGUAAACUGCAAAAAACACAUCAGGCCUAAACGUGACAGUCCAUGUAUGAAGCAUGUCUGCCUAUGUCCACCUAUCAUCCUCAUCUGUUAUGCUAAUAAAGCGAUUA